AUUUAUAUAAAAUAUAUAGAUGAAUAUUUAUAUAAUAUUAACAUAAUUCAUAUUACUAUAUAUUUUAGUAUAUGAAAUUUUACUUUGAGAAAAUUAGAGUGCUUAAAGCAGGCAUAUGCCUUGAAUACUCCAGCAUGGAAUAAUAUUAAAGAUUUUUAUCUUUCUUAUUGGUUCUAAGAUAAGAAUAAUGAUUAAUAGGGACAGUUGGGGGCAUUUGUAUUUAACAGUCAGAGGUGAAAUUCUUAGAUUUGUUAAAGACAAACUAAUGCGAAAGCAUUUGCCAAGGAUGUUUUCAUUAAUCAAGAACGAAAGUUAGGGGAUCGAAGACGAUCAGAUAC
rnacentral:rRNA from 1 species